rnacentral:rRNA from 1 species
UACGUAGGGUGCAAGCGUUGUCCGGAAUUAUUGGGCGUAAAGAGCUCGUAGGCGGUUUGUCGCGUCUGCUGUGAAAACCCGAGGCUCAACCUCGGGCCUGCAGUGGGUACGGGCAGACUAGAGUGCGGUAGGGGAGAUUGGAAUUCCUGGUGUAGCGGUGGAAUGCGUAGAUAUCGGGAGGAACACCAGUGGCGAAGGCGGUUGCCUGGGGCUUUGCUGACGCUGAUGCGCGAAAGCGUGGGGGAGCGAUCCGG